UCGGUGGCAGAGUCAAAAUGGCUUGGUC
rnacentral:piRNA from 1 species